rnacentral:rRNA from 1 species
AGUGGCGGACGGGUGAGUAACGCGUGGGUAACCUGCCUCAUACAGGGGGAUAACAGUUAGAAAUGGCUGCUAAUACCGCAUAAGCACACAGCAACGCAUGUUGCAGUGUGAAAAACUCCGGUGGUAUGAGAUGGACCCGCGUCUGAUUAGCUAGUUGGUAGGGUAACGGCCUACCAAGGCGACGAUCAGUAGCCGACCUGAGAGGGUGACCGGCCACAUUGGGACUGAGACACGGCCCAAACUCCUACGGGAGGUAGCAGUGGGGAAUAUUGCACAAUGGGGGAAACCCUGAUGCAGCGACGCCGCGUGAGCGAAGAAGUAUUUCGGUAUGUAAAGCUCUAUCAGCAGGGAAGAAAAUGACGGUACCUGACUAAGAAGCCCCGGCUAACUACGUGCCAGCAGUCGCGGUAAUACGUAGGUGGCGAGCGUUAUCCGGAUUUACUGGGCGUAAAGGGAGCGUAGGCGGAUGAUUAAGUGGGAUGUGAAAUACCCGGGCUCAACUUGGGUGCUGCAUUCCAAACUGGUUAUCUAGAGUGCAGGAGAGGAGAGUGGAAUUCCUAGUGUAGCGGUGAAAUGCGUAGAGAUUAGGAAGAACACCAGCGGCGAAGGCGACUCUCUGGACUGUAACUGACGCUGAGGCACGAAAGCGUGGGGAGCAAACAGGAUUAGAUACCCUGGUAGUCCACGCCGUAAACGAUGAAUACUGGGUGUGGGGGGUUUCAACACCUCCGGGCCGCCGCUAACGCAUUAAGUAUUCCGCCUGGGGAGUACGGUCGCAAGAUUAAAACUCAAAAGGAAUUGACGGGGACCCGCACAAGUAGCGGAGCAUGUGGUUUAAUUCGAAGCAACGCGAAGAACCUUACCUACACUUGACAUCCCUUGCAUUACUCUUAAUCGAGGAAAUCCCUUCGGGGACAAGGUGACAGGUGGUGCAUGGUUGUCGUCAGCUCGUGUCGUGAGAUGUUGGGUAAAGUCCCGCAACGAGCGCAACCCUUAUCUUUAGUAGCCAGCAUUAUGGAUGGGCACUCUAGAGAGACUGCCGGGGAUAACCCGGAGGAAGGUGGGGAUGACGUCAAAUCAUCACGCCCCUUAUGAGCAGGGCUACACACGUGCUACAAUGGCGUAAACAAAGGGAAGCGAAGUCGCGAGGCCGAGCAAAUCUCAAAAAUAACGUCUCAGUUCGGAUUGUAGUCUGCAACUCGACUACAUGAAGCUGGAAUCGCUAGUAAUCGCGAAUCAGAAUGUCGCGGUGAAUACGUUCCCGGGUCUUGCACUCACCGCCCG